rnacentral:rRNA from 2 species
UACGGAGGAUCCAAGCGUUAUCCGGAUUUAUUGGGUUUAAAGGGUGCGUAGGCGGCCUAUUAAGUCAGGGGUGAAAGACGGUGGCUCAACCAUCGCAGUGCCCUUGAUACUGAUGGGCUUGAAUACACUUGAGGUAGGCGGAAUGUGACAAGUAGCGGUGAAAUGCAUAGAUAUGUCACAGAACACCAAUUGCGAAGGCAGCUUACUAAGGUGCAAUUGACGCUGAGGCACGAAAGCGUGGGGAUCAAACAGG